UCUUGUGUUCCCCACUAGCAGACGGGCUGCCGCUGUGCCACUCGAGAGCCACACUCAGCUUUGCUCGCUCCACUGUCUACCUCGAGUCAGUAUCCGGGAAGGGGCAGGGCACCUCCUGUGAGAUGGUGAGCACCCUUAAAUUCCACCGACCUGAAUGAGAGUUGAAGUCAUUCAGCACUUUGCAGAACUGGGGCAUUGGAAGGGCAGAACUCUGAGGUAUUGGUACAGGCUCUAAACAUAUGUUUACCAUCUGUGGAAUUAUGGGAAGCAGCUGAGGUAAGAAACAACAGCUGUAGAAUAAAAUCAUGCCGUCAAUUUCACUUCACAGUGACAGUUCAGCUGUUACAACAAGAAAUGAAGUCCAGCUGCAUGUGUUUCAAUGAUCAUAGGAUCUUCUCCUUCCCAGAGGCUAGUGAAGAUUAGAA